CACUGGGCUUCUGUUAAAAUGCUUACAACCUCUGUGAUCUUAGGCAAGUUGGUGGUUUUAAAAUAUGUCCACGAAUUCUCUGAUAUACCUCCCUUCAAAAGGCGGAGCCUAAUUCCCCUUCCACAGAAUGUCAGCAGUACUUAGUCACUUGAUUCUAAUGAAUAAGGUGUGGCAAAAGUAAUUGCGUAUCUGACUUCGAGACUAGGUUAUAAGAGUCAUUGUAGCUUAUUCAAUCACUCUGGAAGAAGCCAGCUGCCAUGUCAUGCGGACACUCAAGCAGCAUAACAGAGAGGUCCAUGUGGUGAGGAACUGAGGCCAUGUGGUGAGGAACUGAGGCCAUUUGGUGAGGAACUGAGGCCACGUGAGUGAGGAACUGAGGCCAUGUGGUGAGGAACUGAGGCCAUGUGAGUGAGGAACUGAGGCCAUGUGAGUGAGGAACUGAGGCCAUGUGAGUGAGGAACUGAGGCCAUGUGAGUGAGGAACUGAGGCCAUGUGAGUGAGGAACUGAGGCCAUGUGGUGAGGAACUGAGGCCAUGUGAGUGAGGAACUGAGGCCAUGUGAGCGAGGAACUGAGGCCAUGUGAGCGAGGAACUGAGGCCAUGUGGUGAGGAACUGAGGCCAUGUGAGCGAGCUUGGAAGUAAAUCCUCCAG
rnacentral:lncRNA from 1 species